rnacentral:rRNA from 1 species
UACGGAGGGUGCAAGCGUUGUUCGGAAUCAUUGGGCGUACAGGGCGCGCAGGCGGUUCGUUAGGUUCGAGGUGAAAUCUCUUGGCUCAACUGGGAGAGGUCUUCGGAUACCGGCGGACUUGAGGAGAGCAGAGGUGAGUGGAAUUCUGGGUGUAGUGGUGAAAUGCGUAGAUAUCCAGAGGAACACCAGUGGCGAAGGCGACUCACUGGGCUCCACCUGACGCUGAGGCGCGAAAGCGUGGGGAGCGAACCGG